rnacentral:lncRNA from 1 species
GCAUUUCCCCAGAAAGGCUCUUACCAUAGGCGUCUUCCUCAUCUCUUGCCAUCUUCCUUCCUCCCAUGCUUCUUAGAAGGCUCUCGGUUUUGGUUUUCUCAUUUGUGUGCUCAUUCCUGCAGCUGAGCAAAACCCAACCACAGAGUCAGGCAAAUUCUAAAGAAUACAAAGCAAGGCUUUUGUCUGCAAGGAGCCGAGCAUUUAGGCGUGCGCUUCCGUUUACAGGCACUUCGGGGGCACCUUUUGUCCACCAUAAAAUCAGCAAAUGCCCACAAAUGACACAGAUCAGAACUGAAGAAACAGCCGUAAGAGCGGGGGCAAUGAGCAAGACGCGGAGAAACAGAGGUAUCCCUGCAGUUGGAGUGGGACAAACUCCAGGAAGACAAGUGAGGACUAAUUCCAUUCCUCUCAAGUUUGCUAGAGCCCCUCCGACUGGCAAGGAGAAGAAGAGACUUCUGAGAGACAGACGUGGCCCAUGAGGAGUAGCCAUGAAAGCAUGGUUUAUAAGGACACAGAAGGAUCGUUUGCCUUUGCUGAAUGUGCUUUUUUUUUCUAUAGAAAGAAACAUUUAAUGAAAUUUCUUUCAAAAUUCA